rnacentral:rRNA from 1 species
GUAGGGAGCAAGCGUUGUUCGGAAUUAUUGGGCGUAAAGAGCGCGUAGGUGGUUUGGCAAGUCUGUUGUGAAAGCCCAUGGCUCAACUGUGGAAUUGCGACGGAAACUGCCAGACUAGAGUGCGGGAGAGGAAAGCGGAAUUCCCAGUGUAGAGGUGAAAUUCGUAGAUACUGGGAGGAACACCGGUGGCGAAGGCGGCUUUCUGGACCGCAACUGACGCUGAGGCGCGAAAGCUAGGGGAGCAAACGGGGGAUUAGAUACCCCGGCAGUCCUAGCCGUAAACGAUGGGCACUAGGUGUAGGGGGUAUCGACCCCUUCCGUGCCGCAGCUAACGCAUUAAGUGCCCCGCUGGGGGAGUACGGUCGCAAGACUA